UGGCUCUGGCAUCGAUGAAGAACGCAGCGAAAUGCGAUAAGUAAUGCGAAUUGCAGAAUUCAGUGAGUCAUCGAAUCUUUGAACGCACAUUGCGCCCCUUGGUAUUCCGGGGGGCAUGCCUGUUCGAGCGUCAUUUCAACCUUCAAGCCUAGCUUGGUAUUGGGACUCGCUGAUCGUGGUCCUUAAAACUAGUGGCAGUGCCUCCAGGCUCUACGCGUAGUAAUACACCCCGCGUCUGAGCCCUGGAGCCCCUCGCCAGAACCCCAAAUUUCUCAGGUUGACCUCGGAUCAGGUAGGGAUACCCGCUGA
rnacentral:misc_RNA from 1 species